rnacentral:rRNA from 1 species
UACGGGGGAGCAAGCGUUGUUCGGAUUUACUGGGCGUAAAGGGCGCGUAGGCGGCGUGACAAGUCACUUGUGAAAUCUCCGGGCUUAACUCGGAACGGUCAAGUGAUACUGUCGUGCUAGAGUACAGAAGGGGCAACUGGAAUUCUCGGUGUAGCGGUGAAAUGCGUAGAUAUCGAGAGGAACACCUGCGGCGAAGGCGGGUUGCUGGGCUGAUACUGACGCUGAGGCGCGAAAGCCAGGGAGCGAACGGG